UGGUCUUCCGAUCUGGGGCAGCCAUGUCUUCAGUUACUCCCUGACUCUACUGUUUGGUUCGACAGCCAGCCUGAUAAUACAUUCAUUAUGGCAUUGAGCGCCACAUAGAGGGCAAGAGUCAUAUUGACUGCACCUUCCUGGGAGUGUUAAAG